GCUUCCGUAGCUCAACUGGAUAGAGUGUAGGCCUCCGGAGCCUAAGGUUGUGGGUUCGACUCCCGCCGGGAGCA
rnacentral:tRNA from 1 species